ACGCCGAAAGACCAAGGGUUCCUGCGCAACGUUAAUCGACGCAGGGUGAGUCGACCCCUAAGGCGAGGCUGAAGAGCGUAGUCGAUGGGAAACGGGUUAAUAUUCCCGUACUUCUGGUUACUGCGAUGGGGGGACGGAGAAGGCUAGGCCAGCUUGGCGUUGGUUGUCCAAGUUUAAGGUUGUAGGCUGGUCGCUUAGGUAAAUCCGGGCGAUCAAGGCCGAGAGCUGAUGACGAGCGUCCUUUAGGACGCGAAGUGGUUGAUGCCAUGCUUCCAGGAAAAGCCUCUAAGCUUCAGGUAACCAGGAAUCGUACCCCAAACCGACACAGGUGGUCGGGUAGAGAAUACCAAGGCGCUUGAGAGAACUCGGGUGAAGGAACUAGGCAAAAUGGCACCGUAACUUCGGGAGAAGGUGCGCCGGUGAGGGUGAAGGACUUGCUCCGUAAGCCCAUGCCGGUCGAAGAUACCAGGCCGCUGCGACUGUUUAUUAAAAACACAGCACUCUGCAAACACGAAAGUGGACGUAUAGGGUGUGACGCCUGCCCGGUGCCGGAAGGUUAAUUGAUGGGGUUAGCCGCAAGGCGAAGCUCUUGAUCGAAGCCCCGGUAAACGGCGGCCGUAACUAUAACGGUCCUAAGGUAGCGAAAUUCCUUGUCGGGUAAGUUCCGACCUGCACGAAUGGCGUAACGAUGGCGGCGCUGUCUCCACCCGAGACUCAGUGAAAUUGAAAUCGCUGUGAAGAUGCAGUGUAUCCGCGGCUAGACGGAAAGACCCCGUGAACCUUUACUGUAGCUUUGCACUGGACUUUGAGCCUGCUUGUGUAGGAUAGGUGGGAGGCUUUGAAGCGUGGACGCCAGUUCGCGUGGAGCCAUCCUUGAAAUACCACCCUGGCAUGCUUGAGGUUCUAACUCUGGUCCGUUAUCCGGAUCGAGGACAGUGUAUGGUGGGCAGUUUGACUGGGGCGGUCUCCUCCUAAAGAGUAACGGAGGAGUACGAAGGUGCGCUCAGCGUGGUCGGAAAUCACGCACAGAGUAUAAAGGCAAAAGCGCGCUUGACUGCGAGACAGACACGUCGAGCAGGUACGAAAGUAGGUCUUAGUGAUCCGGUGGUUCUGUAUGGAAGGGCCAUCGCUCAACGGAUAAAAGGUACUCCGGGGAUAACAGGCUGAUACCGCCCAAGAGUUCAUAUCGACGGCGGUGUUUGGCACCUCGAUGUCGGCUCAUCACAUCCUGGGGCUGAAGCCGGUCCCAAGGGUAUGGCUGUUCGCCAUUUAAAGUGGUACGCGAGCUGGGUUUAGAACGUCGUGAGACAGUUCGGUCCCUAUCUGCCGUGGACGUUUGAGAUUUGAGAGGGGCUGCUCCUAGUACGAGAGGACCGGAGUGGACGAACCUCUGGUGUUCCGGUUGUCACGCCCGUGGCACUGCCGGGUAGCUAUGUUCGGAAGAGAUAACCGCUGAAAGCAUCUAAGCGGGAAACUUGCCUCAAGAUGAGAUCUCACUGGAGCCUCGAGCUCCCUGAAGGGCCGUCGAAGACUACGACGUUGA
rnacentral:rRNA from 1 species